rnacentral:misc_RNA from 1 species
GAUCAUUUGAAACUAUAGAAAUUUCAUUCUCUAUCAAGUCUGCUUUCUGUUUGUUUUCUCCAUAUGGAUAAGGCUCUUCUAGCCAUUUUUCAUUCUUGUUUUCUUUAUUAUACGUUAGGGUUUGUUCAUGGUAUAACCUCAUGUAGUGAUGUCCCUUUUGCUCAAGUAUGCAACGAUUUCAUUGGUCAGAUUCCUGUGCAAACCCAACAUCAAACACCCUUCAUGUUUCGCGAUCAAUCCCUUCUGGUGACUAUGAACCAAGCCACUCUAGCUCACCAAGUGAUCUCAGCUAUGGACUUGAGUUCAUUUGAUCACAAAGCCAAGUUAGCAUGGGCUGAUUGUUUGGAGCUAUACGAGGAUGCAAUCGACCAUCUUAAUCGUUCAAUGAGCUCUAGAAAUCCUAUAGACUCUCAAACCUGGCUAAGUGCAGCAAUCGCUAACCAACAAACUUGCCAAAAUGGGUUUAUUGAUUUUAAUAUGACCUCUCAUUUAGAGUCUUUGCCAUUUAUGCUGAUGAGUAACUUGUCAAAGUUGCUUAGAAAUUCACUUGCCAUAAAUAAGGCUAUGCCAUAUAAUACCAAACAACUUGGUGGUCGGCGAUUACUUGCCUAUGGAUUCCCAUCAUGGGUUUCGGCUAGCGACAGGAGACUUCUUCUCCACUCAUCUCGGGGUGCACCUGCAGCUGAUAUUGUAGUAGCUCAAGAUGGGUCUGGUAAUUUCAAGACCAUAUCAGAAGCUGUGGCUGCAUCGGUUAAACGAAGAAGUGGAACUAAGAGAUUUGUGAUAUACGUGAAAAAGGGUGUUUAUAAAGAGAACGUGGAGAUUAAGAAAUCAAUGAAGAAUUUAAUGUUUAUUGGAGAUGGGAUUGAUGCUACCAUUGUUACCGGUAACAAGAAUGCUCAAGAUGGCUCCACAACUUUUCGUUCUGCGACUUUUGGUAAUUCAGUUUUAAUUUCUUUUCUUUUUUAAUUCUCAUUUAUAAACUUAAUUAUAAAAUUUAUGGAUAAUUUUAAAAAAAAUCAUACAUUUUGGAUUUGUGACAUUUUCAUCAAAACUAAGAUAUAUACUGCAUGUGCACGCUUGCAAUAUGCAUGCAAGGGAGGUAAUGCAUAUGUAUGUACAGUUUUAUUUUUUUUUUAAUUCACUGUCAUAUUAACUAGAAGUAUAUUUACAAAAUAAAAAAGAAAAGGAAACAUUAUCAUAUACUCACAAUUAAACAUGUUUAUGAUCUCCCCAGCUGUCUCCGGCGAGGGCUUCAUUGCCAAGGACAUGACAUUCGAGAACACAGCAGGACCACAGAAAUACCAAGCGGUGGCACUCCGUUCCGGUUCCGAUUUCUCAGUCUUCUACAGUUGCAGAUUCAAGGGCUUCCAAGACACUCUAUAUGUACACUCUCAUCGACAAUUCUACCGCAACUGUGACAUAUAUGGAACGAUAGACUUCAUUUUUGGUGAUGCCGUUGUGGUUUUACAGAACUGUAACAUAUUCGUUAGAAAACCAAUGAGCAGCCAAAAGAACACCGUCACCGCCCAAUCAAGAAAAGACCCUAAUGAGAACACAGGAAUAGUCAUCCAUAACUCGCGUGUGAUGGCAGCUUCUGAUCUGAGACCAGUGCAAAGAUCGUUCAAGACUUAUCUGGGAAGGCCAUGGAAGAAAUAUUCAAGAACUUUGUUCAUAAAGAGUAACCUAGACGGGCUUAUUGACCCUGAAGGUUGGUUACCAUGGAUUGGGAAUUUUGGUUUGAAUACUCUUUACUACGGUGAGUAUAUGAAUACUGGGAGUGGAGCAAGUACCGUAGGGAGAGUUAAGUGGGCAGGAUAUCAUGUAAUAACAAAGGCAACGGAUGCUGCAAAGUUCACCGUCGGAAACUUUUUGGCCGGAGAUUCUUGGAUUUUGGCCACCGGCGUGCCAUUUUAUUCUGGUUUAUAAGUGAGUUACGAAGGAAAGGAAAGAAAAGGUACAGGCUAAGACGGUGUUUGUUAACUAUGAUGGGAUAGUGACCUGAAGUAGUUGAAAUAAAUUGCUAGAGUCUGUGCUGGUUCUCAUGUAGAUAUAGUUACCAUGGAAGUUGGUAAAAUUAUCCAUGCAUCAUAUGAAGUACUUAAUUAGUGUACUUAAUUAUAUCUAUUAUGUAUACCAAAGAGCAAAGAUAGAGAUGACUUACUUUGUAAUAAAUUGCAAAUAGAAACUUUUUUAUUUCCUUUUCGG